rnacentral:rRNA from 1 species
UACGUAGGGGGCAAGCGUUGUCCGGAUUUAUUGGGCGUAAAGAGCGUGUAGGCGGCCAGACAGGUCCGUUGUGAAAACUCGAGGCUCAACCUCGAGACGCCGAUGGAAACCGUCUGGCUAGAGUCCGGAAGAGGAGAGUGGAAUUCCUGGUGUAGCGGUGAAAUGCGCAGAUAUCAGGAAGAACACCCGUGGCUAAGGCGGCUCUCUAGUACAGUACUGACGCUGAGACGCGAAAGCGUGGGGAGCGAACAGG